ACACACAGAGAGAUUAGCACGGUCCCUGUGCAAGGAUGACACACGAGCUUGUGAAGCAUUUCAUGUUUUA
rnacentral:snRNA from 1 species